CUAUAGCACUAUCUGACCUUGAAGGUUAAGUUAGUGUACCAUGAACUCCAUCCCACAUAUUUUGGAUGCUGUGGCAUCAGUUAUCUAGCUACAUUCUAUUACCGGUUGACACCAUUUUGGAAAACUUUUAUUCCGGUUACUGCUUGUUAAAUUCCGUUAGGUUCUUUGUCAAAUACUAACUGAUUUUAAUCCAUAUUCUUUUGGGGUGUAACUUUGGUUGUUCUUUCCUUCGAGCUAAGAUAGACCCUAUCAAAAACGAGUUCCAGAAGCAUCUUCCAUUCAUCUCGACCUAGACUGAUCUUUGUUGCGAGUUAAGAUAGACCCUAUCACAAACUAGUUCUAGAAGCAUCUUCCAUUCAUCUCGACGUAGACUGAUCUUUGUUCUGA
rnacentral:lncRNA from 1 species